GUGAAUCAUCGAAUUUUUGAACGCAAAUUGCACUCUCCUCGGAUAGUAAGCCUGUUUGUGGUUCAGCCUAUAAAAAAUCAACAUCGUUGCUGUUUCUCGGUGACGUUCGUCGGAAAUUGGGUUAUCUUAAAUCCUUUUGGUUUUAAGCGACUUAUAAUUUUCUUUUUGGUUCCAUGAACGUUUCUAAUAUUUAUAUCUUUUCAUGUUUAAGGGUAUCGAUUUUUAUUAGACGUGAUCAUCAUAUCGUAUGGCGUCCAUAAUCUAUCAUUUACUCUC
rnacentral:misc_RNA from 1 species